CUGCAUGGGAUAAUGCUUGUGGAGAUGUGCCCUCCUGUCUUCUUUAAUCCCAUUGCACAGACCCUAGGUGAAUAAAGUGGUCCUAGAAACUGCACUGCUCGGGGCAGAAACCUGCCUGAACUGUGUGAUCUGCUGUCUGCUGAAGGACUCCUAUCGGUUUUAAAGGUCUUCAAAUCCAGCCAUUGGAGAGUUUGUAGAACAUGAAUAUGAAAACAUCUUCAGAAUGUUUCUCAAACAGCAGGCGAACCAUUAAUUUCCCAGCCCUAAUCCCAUUUCAUGGAGGAAGCCAAAGUCUGCGGAGCAAAUCAGAGGAGCAAAUCUGAUCUAAUGUUUGUAUACUGUCCAUUUUUGACCAGUACAAGAGCACAUUAAAAACAUGACAUUCCUGAGGAAUCCCAUCUGAAUCACUGCUGUAUUAGCACUAAUAUACAGAGAAAAGGUUCUUCUGGUGUUGGAAUCAGCUUCGGGCAUGGUUUGGGGGGAUAAUAUUUUAUGAGUGUUUCCUGAAAUGGUGAGGUGAAAUAAAAAUUAAAAGCAUAAUGAUAAUAAAAGAAAGGACUUGAUUUUGAGUGUUAACACUGUAAGAAAGAAUUAACACUAGAAGCUGUAUUUUGUGUUGUG